CCUACGGGAGGCAGCAGUCGGGAAUUUUGCGCAAUGGGGGAAACCCUGACGCAGCAAUACCGCGUGUGGGAUGAAGGCCUUCGGGUCGUAAACCACUUUUCUCGGGGACGAUAAUGACGGUACCCGAGGAAUAAGCCACGGCUAACUACGUGCCAGCAGCCGCGGUAAUUCGUAGGUGGCAAGCGUUGUCCGGAUUUACUGGGCGUAAAGCGCGCGCAGGCGGUGAAUGAAGUCGAAAGUGAAAGCCCCGGGCUCAACUCGGGAACAGCUUUCGAAACCAGUUCACUUGAAGGUGGAAGAGGGAAGUGGAAUUCCGAGUGUAGCGGUGGAAUGCGCAGAUAUUCGGAGGAACACCAGAGGCGAAGGCGACUUCCUGGUCCAAUCUUGACGCUGAGGCGCGAAAGCUAGGGGAGCAAACAGGAUUAGAUAUCCUGGUAGUCCUAGCUGUAAACGAUGGAUACUAGGUGUUGGAGGUUUUAACCCCUCCGGUGCCGCAGCUAACGCAUUAAGUAUCCCGCCUGGGGAGUACGGCCGCAAGGCUAAAACUCAAAUGAAUUGACGG
rnacentral:rRNA from 1 species